rnacentral:misc_RNA from 1 species
CACGCAGUCCUCCUUGAGGAAACGAUUGAAAGUUAGGGCACCCCCUUAUUCGCAGGAAACUGAGAUAUGCGAGAUCCCGCUGACCAUCAUCAGGAACUGAAAAGGAUGCAAGUUGAACACAGUUCUGGACACUGAGAAUUUGAAGCUCAGGGAGGAGGUCCAGUGGAAAGGAGCUAAGUAGAGAGUAAUUUAUGGGCCCUUUAAU